AUUGCCUUAGAAGUCUGACUCUUCUGUAGUUCGCAUCACUACGUUUGCCUGAGGGAGCUGAGGCUGAAAGUUCUCAUCAUACCUCUGAUAACACCUGAAUGCAGAAUGACCAAACUUUCCACAUAUCUGACAUGUAGGACGAGAUGAACUCUGAUGUUGUCCACGACCACUAGUCUGACCAAACUGCUGAUGAAAGCCUCUGCCUUGUGUUGAGUAACCUCGUCCUCUGUAGCCUCCACGGUAUUGACCACGACCAGAGUAGCCACCUCUAUUUGUAUAGUACGCCUGAUGAGGAGUGACAUUAGAGGACACUGUGUAUGUCUGAAGCUUGUCUUCAAAGGAGAUCAGCUUAGGCAUGACAUCGUCAAGAGUAGGU
rnacentral:lncRNA from 1 species